rnacentral:rRNA from 1 species
UACAUGGGGUGCAAACGUUGCUCGGAAUCAUUGGGCGUAAAGCGCGCGUAGGCGGUUGCUUAAGUCGGAUGUGAAAGCCCUUGGCUUAACUGAGGAAGUGCAUCCGAAACUGAGCAGCUAGAGUACGAAAGAGGGUCGCGGAAUUCCCGGUGUAGAGGUGAAAUUCGUAGAUAUCGGGAGGAACACCGGUGGCGAAGGCGGCGACCUGGGUCGAGACUGACGCUGAGGCGCGAAAGCGUGGGGAGCAAACAGGG